rnacentral:lncRNA from 1 species
CCUGGUCUUCUUCUAGCUUGAACGGAAAAUUGGUAUCUAGUGACAGGAGUUCCAUCAAAAUGACAAAACAAUUGACCAGCAACAUUUGGUCUUACUUUUAAGUAAUUACGUAUAAGCGAAAACGGCACAAACAUCACCUGGCCUAACAUCAAUAACAAUUGUAGUUCCAGUACAGCACUGGUCAAUCUGAGAGAUGAACGUAAAGCGGAUUUCAAUACUAGAUAGAUUUAUUUUAAUGUCGUUAUAUUCAAUUGCAUGGGAUUGGGUUGAGGCGUGUUUAUGAUCAGCGGUUAGUUAACCAACACGUAGGAAACCCAAAAAAGGCCAAGGAAAACGAAGCUUGGAAGAGUUUAGUUUCAAAAUCGUUAUGACAAACAGCAGGUAGAACGUUAUUAAUUUUAACAAUAAAUCAAGUGUUAUGGGUAACCUUACGUCCUUUGGUCGAUUUUGAGAAACGCUUCAUUCCCUCGAGGAGCUUUCUGACAACAAAAGUAUUAAAGCAAUCUGUAUAUAGUUGUUAAUCUUACUGAAAAAACUCAACCCAGAGAUAUAUGAUUUAACAGUUAAGGCCGCAGUUCCAGUGAAUGACAUAUAGGCAAUAUAGUUAGUUAUGUGGUGUAAUGGAAUAGGCCAAAGAUCUUCAAAUUGGAACAAGGUCCUAAAUUCUUUAAAUGACCGUAACGCUUGUUGAUCAACCUUCGACGUAUUCGGUGCAACUGCUGAUACAAUUAGUCGGUCAAUUUCACCUUGGAGAUCAGGUCUAUGAACUCCUGAGGGAUUAUUUCUGGUGUAUCCUCCGCCAAUGGUGCUAACCUUUUGAACUUUUCUAACUGAAAACGAGAGAGGGCGUCAGCUAUGUUAUUUUUGGCACCUACAAUAUGUUUUGCCUUAAACUGAAUGUUGUAAUUCAUGGAACGCAACACGAAUGGUCGAAUUAUUGACAUUACCCGUUUUGAUUUCGAUGUUCUCUUGUUUAGUAUAUCAACCAACGCGAUGUUGUCUGUUCGAAACAAAAUCUUACUGUUUUUCAAAAGAGGAGCCCAUAUACAAAGUGCUAAAAAGUAUAGGAAUGAGUUCCAAAAAUGUUAUGUCUUGUAAAAUGUGUAAUCCGACCCAUGAAUCUGGCCAUUUGAACUGUGCCCAUUUCCCGUUAAAGUAAGAUCCACAACCAAGUUCAGCGUUGCCUGCGCUGUCAGUAUAUAGUUGCAAAAUGUCAUUAUCUGUCCAAGUUAGACCAAUAAUAUAAGAAUCUCCAUUGAAAGAUUUUAAGAAUUCUAACCAUACAACCAAGACGUCCUCUCGAAUUUCAGAGGUUAUUCUAAUUGUGAAAAAAUGGUUUUUUUGACCUUAAAUGAUGCAAUAACAUCAUAAAAUCUCCGCAAAAACGCUCUAGAGGAUGGAACCGCACGUGAACAAAAAGCUAAUAACCCAACUAGCGACUCAAGAUCCUUAAAUUUAAUCUUUCGCUUUAUUGUCAUUGGAUGAAGUUGAGAACGUAAUUUAAUAAGCUUGGCCACUGGAAUACGAACGACCAUGUCAACUGUGUCUAUUUCUAAGCCAAGAAAAGUUAAUCUUGUUGUAGGAUGUGUUGUCUUGUCCUCAGCUAUAGGCACGCCCAACUCAUUACAAAGCUCAGUAAAUGUGUUCAUUAGAACCAAGCAGUCUUCCGAAUUUGCAGAACCGCCGAAUAUGAAAUCAUCUAAAUAAUGCUUGACUGAAUGCUUACCAGCAGAUGAAACAACCAACCGAUGCAAGAAUGUAGAGAAUUUU